rnacentral:rRNA from 1 species
CCUACGGGAGGCAGCAGUGAGGAAUAUUGGUCAAUGGACGAGAGUCUGAACCAGCCAAGUAGCGUGAAGGAUGACUGCCCUAUGGGUUGUAAACUUCUUUUAUAUGGGAAUAAAAUGUUCCACGUGUGGGAUUUUGUAUGUACCAUAUGAAUAAGGAUCGGCUAACUCCGUGCCAGCAGCCGCGGUAAUACGGAGGAUCCGAGCGUUAUCCGGAUUUUUUGGGUUUAAAGGGGGCGUAGGUGGAUUGUUAAGUCAGUUGUGAAAGUUUGCGGCUGAACCGUAAAAUUGCAGUUGAAACUGGCAGUCUUGAGUGCAGUAGAGGUGGGCGGAAUUCGUGGUGUAGCGGUGAAAUGCUUAGAUAUCACGAAGAACUCCGAUUGCGAAGGCAGCUCACUGGACUGCAACUGACACUGAGGCUCGAAAGUGUGGGUAUCAAACAGGAUUAGAUACCCUAGUAGUC